GCAGGGAAUCUUGCGCAAUGGGCGAAAGCCUGACGCAGCGACGCCGCGUGGGGGAAGAAGGCCUGCGGGUCGUAAACCCCUUUUCUAGGGGAAGAAGUUCUGACGGUACCCUGGGAAUAAGCCUCGGCUAACUACGUGCCAGCAGCCGCGGUAAUACGUAGGAGGCGAGCGUUGUCCGGAUUCACUGGGCGUAAAGGGAGCGCAGGUGGCUGAGUCCGUCCGUGGUGCAAGCUCCAGGCUUAACUUGGAGAGGUCUACGGAAACUGCUCGGCUUGAGGGCGGUAGAGGAGCACGGAAUUCCUGGUGUAGUGGUGAAAUGCGUAGAUAUCAGGAGGAACACCGGUGGCGAAAGCGGUGCUCUGGGCCGUCCCUGACACUCAGGCUCGAAAGCGUGGGUAGCAAACCGG
rnacentral:rRNA from 1 species